GAGUGAACGCUGGCGGUAGGCCUAACACAUGCAAGUCGAACGGCAGCACAGAGGAGCUUGCUCCUUGGGUGGCGAGUGGCGGACGGGUGAGGAAUACAUCGGAAUCUACUUUUUCGUGGGGGAUAACGUAGGGAAACUUACGCUAAUACCGCAUACGACCUACGGGUGAAAGCAGGGGANCUUCGGGCCUUGCGCGAUUGAAUGAGCCGAUGUCGGAUUAGCUAGUUGGCGGGGUAAAGGCCCACCAAGGCGACGAUCCGUAGCUGGUCUGAGAGGAUGAUCAGCCACACUGGAACUGAGACACGGUCCAGACUCCUACGGGAGGCAGCAGUGGGGAAUAUUGGACAAUGGGCGCAAGCCUGAUCCAGCCAUACCGCGUGGGUGAAGAAGGCCUUCGGGUUGUAAAGCCCUUUUGUUGGGAAAGAAAUCCAGCCGGCUAAUACCUGGUUGGGAUGAC
rnacentral:rRNA from 1 species